AUUGAACGCUGGCGGCAGGCCUAACACAUGCAAGUCGAACGAGUGGCGGACGGGUGAGUACUGUCUGGGAAACUGCCCGAUGGAGGGGGAUAACUACUGGAAACGGUAGCUAAUACCGCGUACCAUAGGAUGUGCCCAGAUGGGAUUCGCUUGUAGGUGAGGUAACGGCUCACCUAGGCGACGAUCCCUAGCUGGUCUGAGAGGAUGACCAGUCAACUGGGAACUAAGACACGGGCCAGACUACUACGGUAGUGAGCGGUGGGGAAUAUUGCACAAUGGGCGCAAGCCUGAUUCAGCCAUGCCGCGUGUAUGAAGAAGGCCGUCGGGUUGGAAAGUACUGUCAGCGGGGAGGCGUUACCCGCAGAAGAAGCACCGGCUAACUCCGUGCCAGCAGCCGCGGUAAUUC
rnacentral:rRNA from 1 species